UGCUAAGCUGUAGCUUCACAUCUGUUUGCC
rnacentral:piRNA from 1 species